UGGUCUGUCAUAAAAUUAUAAUAUGCAAACAGUACUAAGUUGUGGAACACCUUCUAAUUGCCAGAAACUGUACCUUAGAACGAAUGUUAAUGCUCACAGCCACCCUGAGGUGGAAUCAUCUGUGUCAGAGCUGCUCCUGAUGGCCUCUCCCAGAUCACAGACUUGGGGCAUCAGCACAGCCAGGGGGAGGGGAGCCCACACUGUGCCAUCAGGCCACACCAGCUGCCACCCACGCUCCCACAUACCAUCACCACCCUGUCUAAAAGUCCCCAUUCUCCUAAAAAACAGCAGAACUUAGAGGCACAGGGAUGCAAAAGUCACUUUCCAAGAAGAGUUCAUCAAGUCCAAAGCUCUCCCUUCUGCAGGCAGAGCUGGGCUAAGCGCUGACUCAGAGGGUGAUGGCGAUUGUCCGGUGGCCCCCUGGCUCCCCUUGUGGUACCCAUCAGGGCAUCUUCUGGAGUCCAGGGUCCUUGAGCAGCUCAAGACACAGCACUGUGCGGAGGGGGAAGGGUAA